rnacentral:rRNA from 1 species
GAAUCUGCCUUUUGGACCGGGACAACUGCUGGAAACGGCAGCUAAGACCGGAUGUGCCCUUGGGUGAAAUAUUCAUAGCCAAAAGAGGAGCUCGCGACCGAUUAGCUAGUUGGUGGGGUAAGAGCCUACCAAGGCUGCGAUCGGUAGCCGGUUUGAGAGGACGACCGGCCACACUGGGACUGAGACACGGCCCAGACUCCUACGGGAGGCAGCAGUGGGGAAUUUUCCGCAAUGGGCGAAAGCCUGACGGAGCAAUACCGCGUGAGGGAGGAAGGCUCUUGGGUCGUAAACCUCUUUUCUCAGGGAAGAAGCAAUGACGGUACCUGAGGAAUCAGCAUCGGCUAACUCCGUGCCAGCAGCCGCGGUAAUACGGAGGAUGCAAGCGUUAUCCGGAAUGAUUGGGCGUAAAGCGUCCGCAGGUGGCACAUCAAGUCUGCUGUCAAAGCCCCCAGCUUAACUGGGAAGAGGCGGUGGAAACUGGUGAGCUAGAGAGCAAUAGGGGUAGAGGGAAUUCCCGGUGUAGCGGUGAAAUGCGUAGAGAUCGGGAAGAACACCAGUGGCGAAAGCGCUCUACUAGGUUGCAACUGACACUGAGGGACGAAAGCUAGGGGAGCG